rnacentral:sRNA from 1 species
AACAUGGCGGAUCGGCUCACGCAGCUUCAGGACGCUGUGAAUUCGAGUAUGCCCAGCUUUUUGCAGCACUGAUUGCACGAACAGCAAAAGACAUUGAUGUUUUGAUAGAUUCCUUACCCAGUGAAGAAUCUACAGCUGCUUUACAGACAGGGUCUCGCUCUGCCACACAGGCUGGAGUGCAAUGGCACAGUCAUAGCUCACUGCAACCUCAGCCUUCCACAUUUGCCAAGAGCCCUGAUCCAGGUGAAUUGUGUAAACCUUGCACGUGGAAUUCCCAGCAAAGAAGCUGUAGGGAUCGGGAUAGGGCCUGGGAAGUGUCUGACUUACAGAAACCCGCCAUGUCUUGUUCUCUGCUGGAGACCUCUGCUUCUCCAUCUUGUGAACAUCCACAGGCCCCCUGCACCGUAAUCUUGCCCUCUCACUGUUGACUCAGUCCUCAUGGAAGUUAUAAAAGAACUUGUGUGGAUUAGCUUGCUAAAUACAUCCAAGAUUUGAAGAACUGAAAACAAAAUCAGUAUUAAACCUGCUUUUUAAAAAUGUAAGUGAAGUAAC